rnacentral:rRNA from 1 species
UUCGUAGGCGGUGUGGCAAGUUGGGAGUGAAAUCUCUGGGCUUAACCCAGAGGCUGCUUCCAAAACUGCUGUGCUUGAGUGUGGGAGAGGCGCGUGGAAUUGCAGGUGUAGCGGUGAAAUGCGUAGAUAUCUGCAGGAACACCCGUGGCGAAAGCGGCGCGCUGGACCACUACUGACGCUGAGGAACGAAAGCUAGGGGAGCAAACAGGAUUAGAUACCCUGGUAGUCCUAGCCCUAAACGAUCGGGACUUGGGGUGCCGCACGUUCGUGCGUCGUCCCGGAGCUAACGCGUUAAGUCCCGCGCCUGGGGAGUACGGUCGCAAGACUGAA